UACGUAGGGUGCAAGCGUUGUCCGGAUUUAUUGGGCGUAAAGAGCUCGUAGGCGGUUUGUCGCGUCGGAUGUGAAAACCCAGGGCUCAACCCUGGGCCUGCAUUCGAUACGGGCAAACUAGAGUAUUGCAGGGGAGACUGGAAUUCCUGGUGUAGCGGUGAAAUGCGCAGAUAUCAGGAAGAACACCCGUGGCGAAGGCGGCUCUCUGGAACGCAACUGACGCUGAGACGCGAAAGCGUGGGGAGCAAACAGG
rnacentral:rRNA from 1 species